AAGGAUCAUUACAGAAAGUAAACGCGGAUCAAACCGCGAACUUUUAAACCUUUGACGAUUGACUCAUGUUGCCUCGGCGGGUUCGCCCGCCAGAGGAUACAUCAAAACUCCUGUUUUAAACGGUGUUGUCUGAGCUACAAGCAACGAAUCAAAACUUUCAACAACGGAUCUCUUGGUUCUGGCAUCGAUGAAGAACGCAGCGAAAUGCGAUAAGUAGUGUGAAUUGCAGAAUUCAGUGAAUCAUCGAAUCUUUGAACGCACAUUGCGCCCCUUGGUAUCCCGAGGGGCAUGCCUGUUCGAGCGUCAUUUCACCACUCAAGCCUGGCUUGGUGUUGGGUGACGUCCAUUUUAAGGACGCGCCUCGAAACGCUCGGCGGCGUGGCACCGGCUUUAAGCGUAGCAGAAUCUUUCGCUUCGAAAGUCGGGGCCCCGUCUGCCGGAAGACCCAUUCGCAAGGUUGACCUCGGAUCAGGCAGGGAUACCCGCUGAACUUAA
rnacentral:misc_RNA from 1 species